GACGAACGCUGGCGGCGUGCCUAACACAUGCAAGUCGAGCGAGUGGAUCUCCUUCGGGAGAGAAGCUAGCGGCGGACGGGUGAGUAACACGUGGGCAACCUGCCUCAUAGAGGGGAAUAGCCUCCCGAAAGGGAGAUUAAUACCGCAUAAGAUUGUAGCUUCGCAUGAAGUAGCAAUUAAAGGAGUAAUCCGCUAUGAGAUGGGCCCGCGGCGCAUUAGCUAGUUGGUGAGGUAACGGCUCACCAAGGCGACGAUGCGUGGCCGACCUGAGAGGGUGAUCGGCCACAUUGGGACUGAGACACGGCCCAGACUCCUACGGGAGGCAGCAGUGGGGAAUAUUGCACAAUGGGGGAAACCCUGAUGCAGCAACGCCGCGUGAGUGAUGAAGGUUUUCGGAUCGUAAAGCUCUGUCUUUGGGGAAGAUAAUGACGGUACUCAAGGAGGAAGCCACGGCUAACUACGUGCCAGCCGCCGCCGUAACAC
rnacentral:rRNA from 1 species